rnacentral:rRNA from 1 species
UACGGAGGAGGCAAGCGUUGUCCGGAAUCACUGGGCGUAAAGGGCGCGUAGGUGGCCCGUUAAGUGGCUGGUGAAAUCCCGCGGCUCAACUGCGGGGCUGCCGGUCAUACUGGCGAGCUAGAGCACGGUAGGGGCAGAUGGAAUUCCCGGUGUAGCGGUGGAAUGCGUAGAGAUCGGGAAGAAUACCAGUGGCGAAGGCGUUCUGCUGGGCCGUUGCUGACACUGAGGCGCGACAGCGUGGGGAGCAAACAGG